GCGCAUCUGGUGUAAUGGUAUCAUAGCACCCUCCCACAGUUCUAAUCAGGGUUCGAUUCUCUGGAUGCGCA